GGGCUUCGGCUUUCUCCAAGUCUGUUGAGGCAGAGUUCAACUUCUGGGUGAAUUCGGCAAGACCCUUCUGUACUUGGCUAGCAUCGAUUUGAUCUACAGGCACAGCUUCGACAGCGAUUAUGUCGGCGUAUGAGUUGCCAUGGAUGAAUGCAAAACCACUGCUGACAAAGUAUUUUUUGAUGUCGCUCCCAUCGUGUACUGAUAGAACCCCUGGCUUUAACUCGGCGAUUGUAGCUACAUGACCAGGAAGAACACCCAUUUGCCCAGUUGUUGCUGGAAUUAUGACCAUGUCAACCUCUUUGGCCGAGAGUUCGGAGGCAUAAGGAAGGACGAAGUUGACAGUGAGCUUAGAAGGGAUGGAAGAAGGCGUAGCAGGACGAGGAGCCAUGAAAGAGAGAGGAGUUUUAGGCGGGUCAAUAUUGGGGAUCACCUUCUUCCAGGCGGAGACAAAGGCAUCGUCGGUGGAAGCAGCUGCGGGCAGAUCGGUGGAGAAGGAUCUGGUCCUUGCAGAGAGAAAAGAGCGGGCCAAAAGGCUGGAAGCUCGUCGGAACAUGGCGGAGAGAGAAGGGGGUCGCUCGGCUCUCGCAAGGUCGGAGAGAGAUGAAGAAGGAGAAGGAGAAGUGGAAGGGU
rnacentral:misc_RNA from 1 species